GAUGGUUCUUGGGUGACGCAUCCCGGAAUCAGGCUUCCUCCUUUCUGGUUCCCGGUGCGUCAACCGGGAACCACA
rfam:Myotis davidii contig83900, whole genome shotgun sequence.